ACGGGCCCAGCCGCUCCGCGGCACGUGGGAUCCUCCCGGACCGGGGCGCGAACCCGCGUCCCCCGCAUCGGCAGGCGGACCCUCAACCCCUGCGCCACCAGGGAAGCCCCCCUCCUCCUCUUAAACCAGAUCUCCUUGGCGCAGAUGGGAAGAAUCACGUGUACAGACUUUCAGGGCUGUAAUAAAGACUAAAGGAGAUAAUCUUUGUUAGGUGCCCUGUCCAGCACCUGGCGCGGAAAUAGGCUUUCAGUCAAAGUGUGCUUCUUCCCUCCCUCUCCCUUCUAACGUUUCUAGGUUUUUCAAAGCCUCUGAGAAUUUUUGCACUGGGGAGGAGUCACCACAGCACUGGGCUUUGAGACAGAGUAUCUGGGUUUUUAUGCAGGGUUUGCCUCUUCCCAGCCCCCUCCCGGCCUUGAGAGAAGCACUCCCGAGAGGCGGCACCGAGUUCUCCUCCAGGGCUUAGUCCCUGGCAUCACAUUGCCUGUAUUUUCAAUCUGUCUCGCCACGGAUGAGCCGGGCAAAUUGCUUAACCUCUCUCUGUCUCAGUCGCUAUCUGUAAAAGGAGGAUCACAGUGGUUCCUGCCUCCUCGGGUUGUGAUGGGGAUUAGGAGAGAUUAACACUUGUCAAAUGCUUAGUGAGUGCUUUAUAAGGUUUAGCUGUUACUUACUCAUCUGCCAAAUAAAAUGGGAAUGAUACUACCUACCGUGGUCAUGUGGAUGGAUAUAAGCAGGUAGAAUAGAGUGUGAAGACACCUUUGAAACCUGUCGAGUACCACACACAUGUGAGUCUUGUUAUGUCACCCCCUGAACCUUCCCAGUGGCCCUUCUCUCACCAUCUUCUCCUCCAGGGAAAUGACCGUCACCGCCUUGUGCCCCCACUAACUUCUCUUAUAGCAUCCGUAACUCUUAUUGGCCUUUUGUUUACCUGUCUCACUCCCUCACUAGACUGUACCCUCCUUAUGCUAAGAGAAUGCCUCCAAUUUGAUCCUCUUCCUCCAGUGCCCAGCUGGGGCUGUGCAAUAAGUGGUUGUGGAAGGGAUGCAGAACUUUCUUCAAAGGAACCAGGAGUUGACUAGGAAGCCCUUGCCCACAGCUCUGGACCUUUAUGACUCACUGAUGCUUCUCUCUCUUCUGGGCCCGACACAUAGAAAACCUCGAGGGCUGCUCGUAGAAGGGACCCAGUGAGCAAUCUCUGCAAUUCAGUACUUUAAGCACGAGAAAACUCUACUCCACUGUCUUUCACCCUUUAGGAAGCAUCAUGUCUCCAUGGAAGGUACUGGAAAUGUGACAUAGCAUUUUAGGGGGUUAAUCAGCUCUCUGGGAGGGGCCUUGCCCCUGACCACAAACCGUAAGGAGAGAUGGAGUCGGGGGACCUGGGUUAGGACCCCGCUUGGCCACUAGCCAGCCGUGAGACUUGGAAGGGUGGUUUAAUCUCUCCGUGCCUCAGUUUCCCUACCUCACUGCCAACCUUACAGGUCCACUGUGAGGACGAGAGCCGAUGUUUUUCAAGUGCUCUUCACAGUGAAAACUCUUAAUAAACGUUAAUUCUCCACAUUUGCCCCUUUCCCUUGGAGAACGUAAAUCAGCAAAAUCUGGCUGGAGUUCAGGAGGGCGCUGUUUUCCCACUGAUGAAGGCAGGACUGACUCAGUCACGUGUAAAAAGUCACUGAAAGGAGUCAGUCCCAAAUUCAGGUGCCGCACCAUCACCCGACCCAGCAGAGUAAGCAAAGAACGAAGGAUGGACACAGAGACCCCUCUGUCCUGCGGCCUGAUUGGGAACAGGGCUGACCUUAGGAACAAACAGGACGGGACCCCUUUCAGGUGGGUUCUUCUCAAACUCCUUCUGGCACCUCGGCUGCCCCUAAGCAUCUUAAAGCGGGCGUCUAAGACGUGGUACAGGGAUGGGGGAGAAGGAGGAAGCAGUGAUUCCAGAGGAACUUUCUGCCUCGCCCUAUUUUUAUUUCAUUUGGUUAUAUAAUCAUACCAAGAGCUAACACUUCCCGCGUUCUUUCUGUGUGUCAGGCAGUGUUGUACAUGUAUUAGCUGACUUGCCCUUAGUCACAAAGCUUUUUUUUUUUUUUGCGGUACGCGGGCCUCUCACUGCUGUGGCCCCUCCCGUUGCGGAGCACAGGCUCCGGACGCGCAGGCUCAGCGGCCACGGCUCACGGGCCCAGCCGCUCCGCGGCACGUGGGAUCUUCCCGGACCGGGGCUCGAACCCGCGUCCCCUGCAUCGGCAGGCGGACUCUCAACCACUGCGCCACCAGGGAAGCCCAGUCACGAAGCUUUUAAGUGUCAGAAUUAAGAUUCAUCGCCAGGCAGGCUGGCUCCAGGCUCCUCCUGUGCUCAGUUGCCUCUUUGUGUGCAAAUUUGCUUUGUCUUCGCCAGGUUGUUCCACUUGAACUUUAGUGAACAUGCACCUGCGGCAUUUAGGGUUUUAGGCUCUGUUGCAUCCAUCCACCAGGGAUGGAAACCCAAGAGUUGUCCUUGGUCCCUGCUGGUCACCCCAGGCCUCAUAUUUAAACAGUCACCAGCCUGUAUCAAUCUGAUCUCUCACGUCUGUCCCUAGUCCCUCCACCCUGAGAACAACGCCUUUCCUUUCUUUUUCACCCUCUGCCUGAGCUGUUGGAUUAGCUGGCAGCCUCCCAGGGGGCUUCCUGAUUCCAGCGCUCCCAGCUGUGGCUUGUUCUCAGUUUACAGAAAAAAACAGAGAAAAUGCCGGUCUCUUCAUGUCCAGCCUCUGAUGGCCUCCUUUGGCCCUCGGAAGGCACGAGAACCUGAAGAACGUUGGCCCCAGAGUUAGCUGUCUGGGGUCUGAAUCUCAGCUUCCCCAUGUAACGCAUUUGUCGGCCUCUUGACCCUUCAACUUUCCCAUGUGAAGACUGAGGAUAAACAGAAAACCUGCAUCGUGUGUGUCGUGAGUUCAGAUCGUGUGUGUAAGGCACUUGGCAUCAGGCGGGUAAACUGUGUUGAAAGAGGCAAGUGUGAGAGAAGAAGGGUCCAGAUGUCAUGAGGAGUUCUAAGUUAAAAAUCUUCCCACAAAUACCAAAACCAAAAACAUUUCAAGGAAAGAAAAAUAUACACCAAGAUCUCUCAUCUAUGUAGAUGCAAAAAUCUUCAACAAAAUAUCAGCAAAUUGAAACCAUCAAUGUAUUAAAAGAAUUAUACACCACAACCAAGUCCCACAUAAAUAUAGUCAACUGAUCUUUGACAAAGGAGAAAAGGCAAUACAAUGGAGCCAAGAUAGUCUUUUCAAUGAAUGGUGCUGGAACAACUGGACAUCCACAUGCAAAAAAAAAAAAGAAUCUAGACACAGACUUUACACCUUUCCCAAAAAUUAACUCAAAAUGGAUCACAGACUUAAAUGUAAAAUGCAAAAUGAUAAAACUCCUAGAAGACAACAUAGAAGUUUUAUAUGACCUGGUGGUGACUUUUUAUAUAUAACACAAACGCAUGAUCCAUGAAAGAAAGAAUUGAUAAGCUGCUCUUCAUUCAAAUGAAAAGUUUCUUCUCCGUGAAAGAUACUGUCAACAGAAUAGAAACACAAACCACAGACUGAGAGAAAAUAUUUGCGAAAGACGUAUCUGAUGAAAAAGACUAUUACCCAAAACACACAAAGAACUCUUAAAAUUCAACAAUAAGAGAAGAAAUAACCUGAUUUAAAAAUGGGCCAAAGACCUUAACAGACACCUCACCAAAGAUGAUAUACAAGUGGCAAAUAAGCCUAUGAAAACAUGUUCCACUUUGUAUAUCAUUAGGGAAAUGCAAAAUAAAACAACCAUAAACUACCACUGCACACCUAUAAGGAUGACCAAAAUCCAGAACCGUGACAACACCAGAAGCUGGUGAGGAUGCGGAGCACCAGGAAUUUUCAUUUGUUGCUGGUGGGAAUGCAAGACGGUAGAGUCACUUUGGAAGACAGGUUGGCAGCUUCUUACAAAACCAAACAUACUCUCACCGUACAAUCCAGCAACUGUGCUCCUUGGUAUGUACCAAAAGGAGUUGAAAUCUUAUGUCAACAAAAAUCUAGCACAUGGAUGUUUGUAGAAGUGUUAUUCAUAAUUGCCCAAACUUGGAAGCAACCAAGAUGUCCUUCUUUGCUGAACGGAUAAACGACGGUACACCCAGAUAGUGGAAUAUUAUUCAGAGCUAAAAAGAAAUGAGCUAUCAAGCUAUGAAAAGACAUGAAGGAAUCUUAAAUGCAUAUUACUAAGUGAAAGAAGCCAAUCUGAAAAGUUUACAUGAUUAACUGUAUGACAUUCUAGAAAAGGCAGAACCAUGGAGACAGUAAGAAGAUCUGUGGUUAAUAAGGACUGGGGGCAGGGAAGCAUGAAUAGCUGGCACACAGAGGAUUCUUAGGGCAGCGGAAAUACUUGGUAUGAUACUGUAAUGGUGGAUACAUGUCAUUAUACACUUGUUCAAACACGUAGAAUGUACAACACCAAGAGUGAACCCUAAUGUAAACUGUGUACUUUGGGUGAUUGCUUACUGUGAAAUAUUUGUCAAAACUCUUCAAACUAUGCAUGUAAAUAUGUGGAAUUUAUUGUAUGUAAAUUGUACUUUAAUACGAAGAUUAAAAAUGGAAACAAUUUAUCAAGAAACACCAUAAAGCAUGUGUAAAGACAAACUAUAAUUCUAUAUUUUCAACAUAACCAAUAAUGGUUUAAUAGCUAAAGACCUACAGCAGAUCAAAAAGAGAAAGACAAACCAAACAGAAAAAAACUGGGCAAGAGAUAGAAGAAGCAUUUCAGGGAAAAGGAAAUAGGAAAUGGCCCAUAAACACAUGCAAAGAUGUUCUUUUUCAUUAGAAAUCAGAGAAAUGCAGAUUAAAAUAAGUAGAUACCAUUUCAUCCCUACCAGAUUGGC